GCUCAGUAACACGUCGAUAAUCUGAAAAAAGGGUCUGGAAUAACCUUGGGAAACUGAGGAUAAAAUCGGAUUGGGAAAUUCAACUGGAAGGUGAAUUUCCUUAAACGCAAGGCCUAAGGAUGAGUCGGCGGCGGAUUAGGUUGUUGGCGAGGUAAUGGCUCACCAAGCCGAAGAUCCGUAGGGGCCUUGAAAGAGGUAGCCCCGAGAAGGGCACUGAGACACUGGCCCUAGCUCCACGGAGUGCAGCAGGCGCGAAAACUUUACAAUGCACGCAAGUGUGAUAAGGGAAUCCUAAGUGAUGAUGCAUUGCAUCAUCUUUUGCCAAGAGCAAAUAUCUUGGAGAAUAAGUGGUGGGCAAUACCUGUGCCAGCCGCCGCGGUAACCCAGGAGCCACAAGUGGCAACCACCUUUAUUGGGCCUAAAGCGUCCGUAGCCGGUUUUGUAAAUUUUCUGUGAAAUAGUUGCGCUUAACGUAACUGCGUGCAGGAAACACUGCAAGACUUGGAACCGGGAGGAGUCAGAAGUAUUUUGGGGGGAGCGGUAAAAUGCUAUAAUCCCUCGAGGACUACCUGUGGCGAAGGCGCCUAACUAGAACGGAUCCGACGGUGAGGGACGAAAGCUAGGGGAGCAAUCCGGAUUAGAUACCCGAGUAGUCCUAGCUGUAACACUGCGAGCUAGGUGUUGCGCAAUCUUCGGGAUUGCGUGGUGUCGUAGCGAAGACGAUAAGCUCGCCGCCUGGGGAGUACGGUCGCAAGGCUGAAACCUCAAAGGAA
rnacentral:rRNA from 1 species